rnacentral:rRNA from 1 species
UGGGGAAUUUUGGACAAUGGGGGCAACCCUGAUCCAGCCAUUCCGCGUGAGUGAAGAAGGCCUUCGGGUUGUAAAGCUCUUUUGUCGGGGACGAAACGGUUUCACCUAAUACGUGAGACUACUGACGGUACCCGAAGAAUAAGCACCGGCUAACUACGUGCCAGCAGCCGCGGUAAUACGUAGGGUGCGAGCGUUAAUCGGAAUUACUGGGCGUAAAGCGUGCGCAGGCGGUUGUGUAAGCCAGAUGUGAAAUCCCCGGGCUCAACCUGGGAAUGGCAUUUGGGACUGCACGGCUAGAGUAUGGCAGAGGAGACUAGAAUUCCUGGUGUAGCAGUGAAAUGCGUAGAUAUCAGGAGGAAUACCGAUGGCGAAGGCAGGUCUCUGGGCUGAUACUGACGCUCAUGCACGAAAGCGUGGGGAGCAAACAGG